GCGGCUGGAGCCGGCGCGGGCCCCGGUGCGCGGGAGGCCGCCUGCAGCCCGGCUCUGCGCGCUGCGGCCCGGCUCCGGGUUGCGGUUUUAAUGAGGCGCCCGCGCCCCUCCCGGAGCUGCGAGGGGAGAUCUCUGCUCCUGGUCUCGCUCCCCCUCCCCCCCAACCCCCGGUUCGGUGUAGGCAUCCACCCCUCCGCCUGGGUUCUGCCGGCGCCUCCUUUCUCCACUCUGAGCUGCCCGAGCCGUUGCCUUCCCUGCUUGUGCCCACCCACCCUGCACCAGCUUUAUCUCGGUGCUCAAGGAGACCCCAGUACCCCCUCCUUCCCCCUCAGCCUCUGUCGUCGCCGGGGAGACCCAGCUGGAGACAGAAGCCGAUACCUGGACCUGGACUCUCUGGCCAUAAAGAGGGGGUUUGCUGAGCUGCAGUGCAUUCUGGGGAAGCACAAGACAUGGCUGCCACUGUCACACCAAAGGGGGUAAGGCAGAGGAGACGCUUUCCGAGCAUAGAGCUAGCCAGAUGUGUCCCCCUCAGGAGUCUGUGCAUGAAGCAAACCUAGAGACGAUUCUGGGAUUGGCAAGAAUGCCAUGCCGCCUGAAAAUGACAGAAGCUGCUGGUGCCGCCGUGCCAGCAAGAAGCACACCUGUGCCGGUUUCCAUGGAGAUUGGAGGUUUGAGGGUGUCUCCGAAAGUGGCAUCGGGUCCGGAGCCUCAGCCUAUAACUGCUGCCUCUAAGUGCUCUUUUUGUCACCUAAGGGGUACAGGCAUGGAAUAAUGCCCCUACAAAUCUGCCUGAGUCAUCCCAGGCUCAGACCCGAGGACUGUGUCCCCUAAAUCAGCGUGAAGGACUCAGCUGUAAAGCCAGUGACCUCAGCCUAUGAGCCCUGUGCUGUGUCAUCUGAACCCAAGUGCCUUCUGCCCGGUAUCCUCUCUACGCUUUCACCUUUGCUAAUACAGAGCUCCCCACCCCCAGUUCCAAUGAGGCGCCCGGUGGCCAGGCCAAGUACUACAUGUCCCAGCCACCUUUGCAGCUAGGGAUAAUCAUGUGAUCAUGUCUGACCAAUGGGAAACAAGUAAUGACUUCAGCACUCUCCAGCUUGCCUUUAAAAGGAAAUGGAGCCACCAGUGACUUUAGGGAACUUGAAGCUUGGAUUCCGCAGCAUGCUUAGGAAAGAACAGAGAAGUGCUAACCCUCUUGACCUUGUGCACAGAGGGACGGUGCAUACAGAAGGAGCCUAGGCCCCGAGCCAAGGUUCCUAAUAACAGGAAAGCCUCCGGUAGGCAAAAAUCAGCCCUAAGGCUACUGUCACUUGAGUACUGUGAUGGGCCAGCCUCCAAACCCAGACCCUGAGUCUCAAAAAGGAUAGUAGGCAAAUGAAGAGUCCAAGGAUGGCCAUAGUGCAGGACCUGGGCUCAAAGCCACAGGCUCUAGAAAUGGAAACAGAAGGAAGGACAAGGAGUUCAGGCCAGCUACCAAGAAUUCAAGGCCAGUCUGACACCAUAGACAGACAGACAGACAGACAGAUGCAUGUAUGUACACGUCACCGGGCUGAAUGAUGACUGACACUGCCCAUCCAGGUGUGGUGGCCCAUGGCAGGUGCUGGGCAUGUGAUUUCAGGUUGUGGGUAAGCGAACCAGCCAGGGAGGUUCUAAACCUGGGGCAACUGGUGACUUCUGUGUCUUAGAUGUCAUCAGGUGUCGCUGCUGUGACAGCCCCUUCUAACGACGGCCAGAAGGGCAAGGCAACGGUGCUAACAAACGCCUCUAUAGAAAGCCACCCCAGUGCGCUGUCACCUGUAACCCUGGCCCUUCUCCUGGAGGUCAGCAGAGGAGCCAGCCAUUGUCCUGUCCCCAGGGGAGAAGAGAGUCAAGGACCACAUCCCCCGGCUAGUCGCUCAUCACAUGGUAGGCCUUUGUAUUCUGUAAACAACGAUUUCUUAGUAUUCUGCUACAAUUUUUUUUAAAAAUAUAUAUUUGGAGGAAUGGAAC